rnacentral:piRNA from 1 species
UGAAAGGCAUUUGACUUGGGCUGUGGGG